rnacentral:rRNA from 1 species
AAUUGACCUCGGAUCAGUAGAAUGCCCCAU